AUUUCCAUCACUAUAGUUUCCAAUAAUCAGAUCAGGGGUGGCCUGCAACUCUCCAGCAAGUUCAUUUGCAACAUCCUCAGCAUAAGUCUCUAGGUAAGGCCAAACAUCGAAACGGGAGAUCCAUUUGCGAAGAAUUCCCUUUUCAGUUCUAAAGGGAACCCUUAGAAUGUGCGUAUGCUCGGUUCCGAGGACCUUCUCAAGGCGCUGACCACAAGUAGUCCCAACUGCAUCAGGUAGCAACCUUGUCACAAUUAGUAUUCGAGGGGUUAUAUCGAGGCCUUGUUGUUUAAUUUUGAGAAGCAUCUCAG
rnacentral:misc_RNA from 1 species